rnacentral:snRNA from 1 species
UACCUUUCUCGGCCUAUUGGCUAAGAUCAAGUGUAGUAUCUGUUCUUACCAACUUAAUCGUUGGUACUGGAUUCAUAGAAUCCAAUAUUAAUUUUUAAUCAUGGGAUUCGUUUAUUCAGUCCCGAAAUU